ACCUGCGACCAACCGUCACGACUGUUAAAUGGAACCUUUUCUGCCCCCGGACUAUCAACCGUCGGUUCUGCCGUGAGUUACAAGUGCGACAAAGGCUUCGUUCUCGAAGGGAAAGAGAAUUCAGCCUGUGUCGAGAACGGUCCUGGUAAUGUCAAAGGGAAAUGGGCAGACUCAACUCCCGUCUGUAGAGCAAUAACCUGCGACACGCCGUCCCUGACAAAUGGACAAGAGUCUGUUUCGAAAACUGCACAUCUUGGUUCAGCAGUUAGUUACCGGUGUAACACAGGUUACGUUCUAGAAGGGAAAGGAAAUUCGACCUGUGUCGAGGAUGGUCCUGAUAAUGUUAAAGGGAGCUGGGCUGACCCGAUACCUGCAUGCACAGCUAUUACCUGUGAACCUCCUGUCAUAUCAAACGGA